rnacentral:tRNA from 1 species
GCGCCCGUAGCUCAGGUGGAUAGAGUGUUGGUUUCCGAAGCCAAAGGCCGGAGGUUCGAAUCCUCCCGGGCGCG